AUUGAACGCUGGCGGAAUGCUUUACACAUGCAAGUCGAACGGCAGCACGGGAGCUUGUUCCUGGUGGCGAGUGGCGAACGGGUGAGUAAUACAUCGGAACGUACCCUGAAGUGGGGGGAUAACGUAGCGAAAGUUACGCUAAUACCGCAUAUUCUGUGAGCAGGAAAGAGGGGGAUCGCAAGACCUCUUGCUUUAGGAGCGGCCGAUGUCGGAUUAGCUAGUUGGUGAGGUAAAGGCUCACCAAGGCGACGAUCCGUAGCGGGUCUGAGAGGAUGAUCCGCCACACUGGGACUGAGACACGGCCCAGACUCCUACGGGAGGCAGCAGUGGGGAAUUUUGGACAAUGGGCGCAAGCCUGAUCCAGCCAUUCCGCGUGAGUGAAGAAGGCC
rnacentral:rRNA from 1 species